rnacentral:lncRNA from 1 species
ACAACCUCCACCUGGCAACCUUCAUUUAACGCAAAACAAAGAGCCUCACUCCCCUGUAUGCUGAUGUUCCACAGGAAGGGCCCAGAGCUCAGAUGUUCCUCACAGACAAGGAAUUUAUCUCUGGGUUGGGCACGCUCUGAACUCCAAACACAUAUUCAGGUGCAACUGCCAUACAGGAUCAUCCUCAGGGUAUGCUCAAGUUAAAUUAUUGCUGUCGGGUGUGUCUACCAUAUACCAUCAUACCACAGGAUCAGCACAACUGAACCUGAGUGUAAAGAGGAAGAAGGCUAAGCAGAGUUGUGACUCUCCAACUGCAUUGGAGGAUUUUUAGGGAAAGGGCAUGAAGAACUUGAAGGAGGACCCUUCCUGCUUUGUUCCGUGUUGUUAAAAAUGACAAAGGUACAACGUACGAAACAAUACUUCGCGGCCAGAGGGAAGAACUGUAGUCAGGGAAGACUUCCUGGAGCUGGUAAGAAUUGAGCUAGGCCUGCUACUUGAAUUGUUAUGUGUUCCCAUUGCUACAGAAGAUCUAAACAUUUUGGAUCUGAGCAAGCAUUUCCCUGCCGUGUGAUUCACUGUGCUGCCCUGUGGUUGCUAUCAUCGUCAAACAGAAGGCUGACUGACAAAGAGGCCUCUAAAUCAAGGGGAGAAAAUCCUCCAGAGGAUACACUAAUUAUAGGUUAAAUAUCAGAGCACACAGUAUUCUGCCUUGGAAGAAAAUUUCCAUUCUGCAAGACAAGACUAUGACAAACAGGCAUUUUCUCAAAAUGACUAAUGCCUCAAAAGAAGGCAGAAUGAGAAACUUGAUGCUGUGUAUGGUAUUUCUGUGAAACAUCACCCCCCUGUUUGGUGGAAUAUUUAACUGCAUUUCAGUUUUCCUGAAGUCUGAAUAUCACAUUUGAUGCUGUUGCAAAGUCUCACUGUACCUGUCUCCUCCCAUAGUUAGGUGCCAAGCACUGUGGAUUCUGCCUCUCAGUGUCCAGACACCCAUUUUCCUUCCCACUGUUCCUUCCCCAUGGAGAAGCCUGUGGCUGGCUGACAGCAGAGAGAGAUGCUCAACU